UGGGGAAUUUUGGACAAUGGGCGAAAGCCUGAUCCAGCAAUACCGCGUGCAGGACGAAGGCCUUCGGGUUGUAAACUGCUUUUGUACGGAACGAAACGGUUCAGGAUAAUACCCUGAACUAAUGACUGUACCGUAAGAAUAAGCACCGGCUAACUACGUGCCAGCAGCCGCGGUAAUACGUAGGGUGCAAGCGUUAAUCGGAAUUACUGGGCGUAAAGCGUGCGCAGGCGGUUAUGUAAGACAGGCGUGAAAUCCCCGAGCUCAACUUGGGAAUUGCGUUUGUGACUGCAUAGCUAGAGUACGGCAGAGGGGGAUGGAAUUCCGCGUGUAGCAGUGAAAUGCGUAGAUAUGCGGAGGAACACCGAUGGCGAAGGCAAUCCCCUGGGCCUGUACUGACGCUCAUGCACGAAAGCGUGGGGAGCAAACA
rnacentral:rRNA from 1 species